rnacentral:rRNA from 1 species
UCGUAACAAGGUCUCCGUUGGUGAACCAGCGGAGGGAUCAUUACCGAGUUUACAACUCCCAAACCCAAUGUGAACGUUACCAAACUGUUGCCUCGGCGGGGUCACGCCCCGGGUGCGUCGCAGCCCCGGAACCAGGCGCCCGCCGGAGGAACCAACCAAACUCUUUCUGUAGUCCCCUCGCGGACGUAUUUCUUACAGCUCUGAGCAAAAAUUCAAAAUGAAUCAAAACUUUCAACAACGGAUCUCUUGGUUCUGGCAUCGAUGAAGAACGCAGCGAAAUGCGAUAAGUAAUGUGAAUUGCAGAAUUCAGUGAAUCAUCGAAUCUUUGAACGCACAUUGCGCCCGCCAGUAUUCUGGCGGGCAUGCCUGUCCGAGCGUCAUUUCAACCCUCGAACCCCUCCGGGGGAUCGGCGUUGGGGAUCGGGACCCCUCACACGGGUGCCGGCCCCUAAAUACAGUGGCGGUCUCGCCGCAGCCUCUCCUGCGCAGUAGUUUGCACAACUCGCACCGGGAGCGCGGCGCGUCCACGUCCGUAAAACACCCAACUUUCUGAAAUGUUGACCUCGGAUCA